CCUACGGGGGGCAGCAGUGAGGAAUAUUGGUCAAUGGACGAGAGUCUGAACCAGCCAAGUAGCGUGAAGGAUGACUGCCCUAUGGGUUGUAAACUUCUUUUAUAUGGGAAUAAAAUGUUCCACGUGUGGGAUUUUGUAUGUACCAUAUGAAUAAGGAUCGGCUAACUCCGUGCCAGCAGCCGCGGUAAUACGGAGGAUCCGAGCGUUAUCCGGAUUUAUUGGGUUUAAAGGGAGCGUAGGUGGAUUGGUAAGUCAGUUGUGAAAGUUUGAGGCUCAACCGUAAAAUUGCAGUUGAAACUGGCAGUCUUGAGUACAGUAGAGGUGGGCGGAAUUCGUGGUGUAGCGGUGAAAUGCUUAGAUAUCACGAAGAACUCCGAUUGCGAAGGCAGUUCACUGGACUGCAACUGACACUGAGGCUCGAAAGUGUGGGUAUCAAACAGGAUUAGAUACCCUUGUAGUC
rnacentral:rRNA from 1 species